GGAAGGUUGUCCGAGCUGGCCGAAGGAGCGCGCCUGGAAAGUGUGUAGGCGUCACAAGCGUCUCAAGGGUUCGAAUCCCUUACCUUCCG
rnacentral:tRNA from 1 species